UCUUCCCAAGGAUUCAAAAGUUUGAGGGGCAUGGAUAAUGUUUUUCUACCAGAAGAAGAUCCCUGCCAAGUUCGACACUCCGUUAUUAAUUUGCAAAACAUUUCACCGAAGGCAGUUUUCAAAACCUUGUACAGUUAAGCAGGAUUUGCUAAGCUGCUGUUACUGAAACGAGGGGCUGUUCCGACCGUAAGGUCAUCACAACCGCAUGCUGUUUUAUCUAGCAGCCAUGCACUUCAAUGAGAAUGCGGAGUCCCCACAACAGAAGACAGCCAAGGAGAAACUAUGUACAGACUUGCCAAACAAUUUAUCAUCAAAGACCCUCUUCCUUAUUGGGAUGCCGUCCAGCGGAUUCCUGUGCCCCAGGACUUGUGUGCUCAGCUAGACAGACCUUCCAUGGAGGAUGCUGUUGCUGAACAUGUGUCACGCGGUUCAGUCGAAAAG